UGGCGGCAAUAGCGCGGCGGACCCACCUGAACCCAUGCCGAACUCAGAAGUGAAACGCCGUAGCGCCGAUGGUAGUGUGGGGUCUCCCCAUGCGAGAUUAGGACACUGCCAGGUA
rnacentral:rRNA from 1 species